rnacentral:tRNA from 1 species
AUUUGAAUAGAUUAUAUAAAUCAUAUUAUUGAAGAUAAUAAAAUAACUAUGUUUUCAAGUA